rnacentral:lncRNA from 1 species
GUAUUGUGUGUGAAAGCGUGUUCAAAAGAGUGUGUUGCUAGCACUCUUCUAGCGGAUAUUACAUGUCAAUCAUGCUUCACUUACGGCAACAGCAUGACAACCAUAGGAUGUAAAAAAAUCUAGUGCAUUGUAACUGAUAGGUAUUCAGAGAAAGAUGAAGAAUGAACAGAAGGAAACUUGUAUUAUUUACUAGGAUUCUGGUGAAAUCACCAAGAAUCAGUGUAGAAACAGUACAGAAAGAAAGGAAAUAACAGUGAUAGCAGAAGCAAAUUCGAGAGUGCUUCACUUCUCUCCUAGUCCAAGAUUAAUCCAAUUCUAGCCUACCCCCCCUCUCUCUCUUCCUUUGGUGUUUAUACACACCACCUGGCCUGAUUCUCUGCAAAGGGAAUCUGCCAGCUUACAAUUAGUUACCCUACUCUCCUAAGGUAGUGGGACUAAUGUUUAUCCCCACUUUACCCCUACGCUUGUAAACCUUAGAGUAAUCCUUGCUCUUACUAGAGAUAAGGUUCCUAUCAUCACUCCCCCCUGGGAAAAACACCUUGUCCUCAAGGUGGAAUGUUGGGAACUGGUUCUGGAACUGCUGCAGUGACUCCCAGGAAUUCUCAAAAUCAGGGAGGUUCUUCCAACUGACUAAGAGUUCAGUUUCCCCAAAGGGGUUAAGUCUGGAGUCCAGAACAGCUGCUGGCUCGACUUGUAGCUCCCACUCUUCAGAUAAACAAUGGGGUAAAGGUUGCACCUGAACUGUAGGAGCCAAGGAUUUCUUCAAUAGAGAUAUGUGGAAGACUGGAUGAAUCAAACACCCUUCUGGUAGCUGCAAUUUGUAGGCCACAGGGCUGAUCUUGCCAACCACUUCAAAUGGGCCAUAAUACCUAGGACUGAGUUUUUGAUUGGUUCUUUUAGCUAGGGUCUGGAGUUUGUAGGGCUGUAUCUUCAGAUAGACUUGAUCCCCUAAUUCAAACUGGACAUUCCUUCUAUGCUUAUUGGCUUGUUGCUUCAUUAGAUUCUGAGCUUGUGCCAAGUUUGCUUUCAGCUCCUCUAGCAUGUUGUUCCUUUCAGCAGUUAAUCUGGUAACCUCUGCUACUGCUGUGGAGGUCACAUCACCUCUAACUAUAGCAGGAGGGUCCUGGCCAUAAAGAGCCUUGUAAGGAGUAGAUUUGAGUGAAGAGUGGUAAUUGGUAUUGUACCAAUACUCAGCCCAUCCUAACCACUUAGACCACAACUUCGGUUUACUCCCUGUGAGACACCUCAAAUAGGUUUCCACACACCUGUUGACCACUUCAGUCUGACCAUCUGUUUGUGGAUGGUAGGCUGUGCUAUAUUUUAAUUUGGUUCCUGCUAGCUUGAAGAGUUAUGACCAGAAUGAGCUUAGGAACACACUAUCCCUAUCUGACACAAUAGUUUUAGGAAAGCCGUGUAACCUGACCACCUCUUGAGUGAAACUUUCUGCCACAGUUUUGGCAGAAUAAGGGUGUGACAGGGCUAUGAAGUGGGCAAACUUGGUGAGUCUGUCAACCACCACUAGUAUGGUAUCCUUUCCCAUGGACCUAGGUAGGCCACCUAUAAAACCCAUGCUAAUAUCUGCCCAGAUUUGUGAAGGAAUAGGCAAGGGUUGAAGUAGGCCUGCAGGACUUAGAGCUUGGUACUUGUUCCUCUGGCAUACCUCACAACUCUGGACAUAAUGCUGAAUUUCUGACCUCAUAUUUUCCCAGUAAAAUAGAGAAGAAAUUCUCUUCAUGGUUCUGAAAUUGCCAGCAUGCCCUCCCACUGCAGAAUUGUGAAAUUCUUCUAAUAUCUUAGGUAUCCUUGAGGAUGUUUUGGGAUCACCAUUCUGCCCUUAAAGUAUAAGAGUCCCUUUCUAUACUCAAAGUCUCCUUGUGACUCUGGAUUAGUGAGUAGAGUUUGGAUAAUAGUGCUGUACUUGGCAUCUUGGAGUAAUUCUUCCUCUAACCCUUCCCACUCUUGGCACUGUGCAGUAGAUAGAGCAGAAAAGUUAAAUUUCCUGGAUAGAGCAUCAGCAACCUUGUUCUCUAUCCCAGGUUUAUAUUUAAUUGUGAAAUUGUAUCCCAUCAACUUGGUGAUCCACUUCUGUUGAUCCUCACCCAUUAUCCUCUGUUCAGUCAAGUAUUUGAGGCUCUUUUGGUCUGUGUGUAUCACAAAGCUCCUACCUAAUAGAUAGGGUCUCCACUUCUGUACAGCUAUCACAAUGGCCAUUAGUUCCCUUUCAUAUACAGACUUGUUCUGAUUCCUAUCAGAGAGAACCUUACUCAUGUAAGCUACUGGCCUUCCUUCUUGCAUCAGUACAGCCCCAAUGCCCUUGCCUGAUGCAUCAGCCUCUAUCACAAAUUGUUUGUCAAAAUUUGGAGCUGCCAGUACAGGUAAGGUAGUCAUGGCCACCUUCAGCUUCUCAAAUGCUUCAGUGGCUGCUUGGUCCCACUUGAAGUUAUCCUUUUUCAAGAGUUGAGUAAGAGGUAGUGCUGUCUUGCUGUAUCCCCUGACAAAUUUUCUGUAAUAACCUGUCAGUCCAAGAAAUCCCCUAAGACUUUUCAAAUCCUUAGGUGUGGGCCAAUCAAUCAUGUCUUUGAUUUUGCUUGGAUCUGCAGCUACUCCUUGACCAGAAAUUAUGUGGCCUAGAUAUCCUAAUUGUUUCUUCCCAAAGGAGCAUUUCUUCUGAUUUACUACUAGCUGGUUUUCCUUGAGCAGUUGCAAGACUUGUCUCAAAUGAUCUUUAUGUGCUUCUUUAUCUUGGCUAUAGAUGAGAAUGUCAUCGAAGAAGACAAGGGCAAACCUCCUUAAGUAUGGCUUGAGCACCUGAUUCAUUAAAGCUUGGAAGGUGGAUGGUGCAUUGGUUAGCCCGAAGGGCAUGACCACAUACUCAUAAUGGCCCUCGUGUGUCCUGAAUGCAGUUUUAGGAAUGUCUUGGUCUUGCAUCCUUACUUGGUGAUAUCCAGACUUAAGGUCCAGCUUGGAGAAUACUUGAGCUGUCCCCAACUCAUCAAGUAGCUCCUCAAUAACAGGGAUUGGGAAUUUGUUUGGGAUUGUCAUUUUGUUCAGAGCCCUAUAAUCUACACAGAAUCUCCAGCCCCCAUCCUUUUUCUUCACCAAAAUUACAGGGCUGCUAUAGGGACUAUUGCUAGUUCUGAUGACUCCAGAAUUCAGCAUGUCUUUUACCAAUUUCUCUAUCUCAUUCUUUUGAUAAUAAGGGCAUCUGUAAGGCCUGAUAUUAGGGAUGGUAGCCCCUUCUUUUAAGGUUAUAGCAUGGUCACAAUCCCUUCUUGGUGGCAGUCCUUGAGACCCUUGAAAAACCUCUGGGAAUUCUGCUAGAAUGGCAGCCAUGUCAUCUGAAAUUCUCUGCUCAUCUUCUGUAUCCAUUAGUGGAUUUUCACAUGUCACAUAGAACCCUUCUCCCUUGUUUUGCAAGGCUUUGCAUAAAGCCUUCAGUGAAGUUUGAGUACAGCUUAAAGAGGGGUCCCCUCUUAGCAUCAUUUUCUGUCCUUCAACCUGCCAUUGCAAGGUUAAUUCUCUGAAAUUUGCCUUUAUAUCCCCUAGACUGGAUAACCAUUCCAUGCCCAAUACUAAAUCUGUUCCACCCAAUUCCAGGACAUAGAAUUGUUGGGUCAAACUCAACCCUUGCACUAGCAAUUGUAGGUCCUUGCAAACCCCCUGAUUCUGAAUCUUAUCUCCAUUACCAAUCUCCACUUCAUAGGUCACAGUCUCGGUGAUGGGUAACAUCAUCUCUUUGACCAGUCCCUGUGAUAUGAAAUUACUUGUGGCACCACAGUCUAUGAGUAUGAGGAUUGACCUUGCUUUUUCCCUCUGACCCAGUUGACCUCGUAGCUUGAAGGAUCUACUGGUGGUGAUGCCUUCCUUGCUCUUGAGGGAUAAGAGUAAGGUUUUGUGUUCUACAGCAAGUUCAGAUUCUGCUUCAAAGAAUUGUCCAUCUUCUUCUUCUUCCUCUUCAUCUACCGUCUCCAUCAACACGAAUUGGUAGUGCUUCAUUUUGCAUACAUGCUCCCUGUUCCAUUUUUCUCCACACUUGAAACAUAGGCCCUUCCUGCUACGAUCCUGGAGCUCGGAUUGAGACAACCUCUGGCCCCCCGUCCACUUCUUCUCUUGUCCCUUAUUCUCCCCUGUUUUAGCUUCAGUAGAGCUUUUAUCUGCACUUGAUUUCUCUGCAGUUGUAGAUCCUGCAAUUUGGCUCUUCCACUUGUUUCCAUCUAUCCAAGUCUGAUGUGCUUUGCUCGAGGAUACUCCUUUUUCCUUCCAUCCUCGCUUGUCCUCAUCUCCGCCCUUGCUGUUGCGCAUAGCCAGAUUUUUCUCUUCCAAUAACAGCGCGCGGUCCAUGAUCUCCUCCAGUUUCCCAGAUCUGUACAACUUCAGCUCGGCCCUGAUUUCUUCCUUGAGGCCAUUAAGGAAGAUUCCCUUGAUGAUAUCUCGGUCAGUGUGACGCAGCGGUGCUGCGACCAUCUCGAAUCGUUCACGGUACUCCAUCACACUUCCGGAUUGUUUGAUGCUCAAUAAUGGUCCAAACGGGUUCUGCACUAACCCGGGUUGGAACCUUCGAACCAGAGCCUCCUUGAACGCUUCCCAAGUGCGUUCCGGGGUCUGUUCUUCCCACCAUUGGAACCAGUUCAGAGCACGUUCCUCCAUGGCUACCACCAGGAGUCGCACUUUCUCAGUAUCGUCAACUUCGUUGAGUCGGAAGAAUCGCUCGACCCGAACAAUCCACCCGUAAGCAUCAUCCCCAUUGAACACAGGGAGAUCGAUCUUCCUUCCAGUGCGAAUAUGCCUCCUCGGGGAAGCAUCCUCGUGUCGCAGCGAAACAGAUCGGGAGCUACGAGAGUCAUCGCCGGAGUUCGACGAGUGCUGACUUCCCGAGCGGUGACGGCGACGGGGCGUUCUAGAUCUGCCCCUGCUCCGGCGUCGCGUCUGUUGGAGCAUCAGCUGUCGGAGCUCGUCGACAAUAGUCAUCAUCUCUGAGUCGUUCUUCUCAACGCUCUCCAUACGGUUCUCCAUUUGUGCGCGGGUGAAGGUGAUACAAAGCUCCCUUUGGAUCGGGAGCUCUGAUACCAAUGAUAGGUAUUCAGAGAAAGAUGAAGAAUGAACAGAAGGAAACUUGUAUUAUUUACUAGGAUUCUGGUGAAAUCACCAAGAAUCAGUGUAGAAACAGUACAGAAAGAAAGGAAAUAACAGUGAUAGCAGAAGCAAAUUCGAGAGUGCUUCACUU